AUGUCUAGGGGCUGGAGCAUGCAGGAGAGGAGAGGAGGGCUUGGUCACGCCUGUCAUGAUUCAAAUGCCUGGUGCAUUGUGUGCUGCUGCUCCUGUGGUCUGAUUGCCUUGCAUGGCAUAAAAGGGCUAUGUAGUACUCUACAUGUCUGGUCAAACAGCAAGCCUGCAGCAGUAGGAAACAAUAUGCAGGUGCAUAUUUGCAACUUUGCCUUGACAGGGAGGGAUGAGAGAGAGGACUAUGCGAUGUUGGUUCUUUUAAUAAAGCUUACUGGAUUCUCUUUUUUCUCUUUGAAGGAAAAAGAGCCUACUGGAUGA
rnacentral:rRNA from 1 species